UACAGAGGUCCCAAGCGCUGUUCGGAUUCACUGGGCGUAAAGGGUGCGUAGGCGGUUGGGUAAGUCUGAUGUGAAAUCUCACAGCUUAACUGUGAAACUGCAUUGGAUACUAUCCGGCUAGAGGAAUGGAGGGGAGACUGGAAUACUUGGUGUAGCAGUGAAAUGCGUAGAUAUCAAGUGGAACACCAGUGGCGAAGGCGAGUCUCUGGACAUUUCCUGACGCUGAGGCACGAAAGCCAGGGGAGCAAACGGG
rnacentral:rRNA from 1 species